UUUUACAUUUUAAGGUUGUGCACAGAAAGUAAUAGAAUGCGGUGAGCUUGCACCUGGAAUCGGGACAAUUAUUAGACCUCAAGAUAUUACGGAUCUGUCAGCUUUACAAGGUCUAUCUUCCACUAUAUGUCCUGUCGUACCUAAACUUCAGAUAUGCUACAGUGAAUUGGAUGUAAUGUGCCCAAAUUAUAUGGCUGAAAAUGUCACAAACUUCUUAGAUGUUGUCAAAACACAGAUUUGUGGGAAUGAUUCAGGAGGAGGCGAGACUACCAGUGAUAAUUCGGCUUUACCAGUGAUAUUUAGUUCAGUGUUGAUAUUUGUAUCAUUAGCUACUAUCCUCCUAUAAAAUAGCCACGUAUACAAACAGAAAAGAGUAUAUUAAAGGUACAGAAUAACGUCACAAACACCAAUCAAUAUUACACAAUAGAGACAGUAGAUAACACACAGUAUAUUACAAGUGCAUAACGUCACAAACACCACAUAAAUAUCACACAAUAGAGACAGUAGAUCACAAAUAAAACAGUAUAUUAAAAGUAAAAGUCCAGAAUAAUGUCACAAGCCCCAUCGGAAAUACCACACAAUAGAAACAGUAGACUUGUGGUCGACGUUCCUAGAGAAGAUCAUGUUCCUGAAGCAACGACCGUGAGUUUUACAACAUCUAGACGUUGCUACAUUGUUUUGCAAUUUCCGAACUUAUAUCUACGUUAUCUCCCUUUACUGCAGACACGUGAACAGUAUUAUUCAAUCAGAGGUUGUGACACACACACACACUCAAAUCAAACAUGGCGAGCUCCUUGGAAAACCUUAACAUUGAACGAACCUUGAACUUUGCAACUCGAUUAUCACAGGUAGACAUUUUAGCUGGAAAGCUUGAGACUUGGUAUUUGCGAUGAUCGAGGAAUCUGAUAGGCUCUCAAGCUGGGUCAGUACCCAAUCGAAAUCAGUGCCGCAAUAUGCAGGGUAUUACGUGCAGGGCCUGAUUAGAUGUACGGUGUUAAAGCCUUUAUAUAAUUGAAGAUGAGAGAAGAUAUUACCAUGAGAUUAUCACUGACCAAACUGUAACGAUUAUUGUAGAGUUGUAGUACCUUAGUUCUUUGACGUCUGCUUCCACCAUAGCGAUAUUACAGACAAGAUCUAGGAGAGCCGAAUUGGAUUGUCGCACGUGCCUCCAUAUUAAGACUCCAAACUACCGACGGAACCAUCAGUGUAAUACCAAGAAUUUGAUAAACAUUUGGCAGAGGAAAAAUAGAAACAAGACUUUUAUUGGCUAACUUAAGCUGUCAAUCAAAUCACCACCUGUUUAAACAGGCGUAAAUCCAAAUAAAUUAAAGGGGUCAUUUUAGUGUUAAAUAUGGGUUAAUUUAAUGCCCCAAUUAAAGAAAACGUCUCUAGAAUACAGUUUUUAUGUCAGAUCUGGUAUAAAAUAUUAGAAUAGUUCGAUAACAAAAAGUAGCACACUUUAAAACUAUUGAGGAAAGGGGGAUUUUUUAUAUCAUAUUUUCUAAAAUACUGUCUCUUUGAAAUCUAGGCAAAAUUGGAAUUGGCUUUUUAUUUAUGCCAUAGU